GUGCCCUUUUAGAUGCCAGCCUCUGUCACCGAGCCACGUGCAUUCUCUCAGGCGACCUUUUCGCCAAGGUGACAUAUUCAACCACUGAACUCACGUGCAUUCUCCAGGUGACAUUCCAAUUCACCGGGCCCACGUGUCCUCUUUCAAGUGGUCACCAAUCUACUUUCAACACCAAUAACCAAUGCCCAACGAUUUCUCAAUCAAAUAAUUAAAUCAACUCAACAAAGCAUUAAAAA
rnacentral:lncRNA from 1 species